rnacentral:lncRNA from 1 species
GAAUCUCAUUAGUUUUCUUCUUGCAGAUCCAGGAUGUCGAGAUCUCCGGUAGCCUGCCCCGUUUCAUCACCAUUUUAUGUUCGUGAGGAAUUCGGCAGUUCUCCUGAACAUUCUGAUGGGUCGUCUGUGUCUCCACCACCGCGCCGGCCUUCCCACCGCAUGGAUCGUUCGCUCGACAACAGGAGACCGCGUCACCGAUCACCUCGCCAUUCUGAUUAGCAGCUCAACAUAAUCUAGGUUUUUUUUUCUUCAGUUGGUUCUUAGUUUUCUUUUGUUGACAUUCUAGACUUGUCCAUUUCAUAGAUUUCUUUCAAUCACAACAUAUUUGCCAAGGUUUGAUCUUUUCUACUCGUAAAGCUUAAUGACAUAGUUUUCAAUCGGGCCCAAGCCCUUCUUAACAUGACUUAGGCGGUCAAGAUUCGCGAGAGACAACGUGUGUUUAAGAUUUGAUAAAAAGGAAAAUUGCCGAUUAUCAUUAUGAGUAAACUUAUUUGGCUUAUGUUUCUGGAAAGGUAUCGGAAGCUUGUUAUCUUUGACGUAUUUACAUGGCGAAGUUGCUUUUGAUGAUGAGGAACUGGAACUAUGAUAAAAUUUUGUGUUCAUCAAACGGAAUGCCAUCUUACUUCACUUUCAGAUAUCGCCACCUUGUUGAGUAAAGGAAGUGCAGAUUU